GACGAACCGUGCGAACGUUGUUCGGAUUCACUGGGCUUAAAGGGCGCGUAGGCGGUCGACCAAGUCUGGGGUGAAAUCUUUCGGCUUAACCGGAAAAGUGCCCCCGAUACUGGCCGGCUAGAGGGAGAUAGGGGCAUGCGGAACUUCCGGUGGAGCGGUGAAAUGCGUAGAUAUCGGAAGGAACGCCGGGUGGCGAAAGCGGCGUGCUGGAUCUCUUCUGACGCUGAGGCGCGAAAGCCAGGGGAGCAAACGGG
rnacentral:rRNA from 1 species